rnacentral:rRNA from 1 species
UACGGAGGGUGCAAGCGUUAAUCGGAAUCACUGGGCGUAAAGCGCGCGUAGGCGGCUUUUUAAGUCAGAGGUGAAAUCCCACGGCCCACCCGUGGAACUGCCUUUGAUACUGGAAGGCUUGAGUGAGUGAGAGGAUAGUGGAAUUCCUGGUGUAGGAGUGAAAUCCGUAGAGAUCAGGAGGAACAUCAGUGGCGAAGGCGACUAUCUGGCACUAUACUGACGCUGAGGUGCGAAAGCGUGGGUAUCAAAC